rnacentral:lncRNA from 1 species
UCGUAAUGCAUACUUACAAUCUAUUUGUUCGUUCCGUUGCACUCUUUCUGCUCUUUGCAAUUGUGAUUCUUGUAGUGAAUUUAACAAAAGAAAAAAUCCUUUUCGACACCAAGGAUAUCUAAGAAAUUCAUCAAGAUGCUCGACCAUACCAAGAGUUUUGUAAUCAAUAAUUCUUCCAACUGGUUUUAUAACACAUUCCACCAACAUAACUAAUCCCAACUUAAAUUUAUCUACUAAGUCUUCACAUUCAUGGAAAACUUCAAAUAGCAUUUUCAUGCUAAUUCUUUGACUACCAUUGAAAU